CCUGGUGGCUCAGAUGGUAAAGCAUCUGCUUGCAAUGCGGAAGACCCUGGUUCAAUCCCUGGGUCAGGA
rnacentral:tRNA from 1 species